rnacentral:rRNA from 1 species
CCCUUAGAUGUUCUGGGCUGCACGCGCGCGACAAUGACGUUUGCAACGAGAUUGCGAGGCCGUCAGGUCGAGCUGAUCUUGCAAGCUGCGUCGUGAUAGGGACAGUCGAUUGCAAUUAUUCGACUCGAACGAGGAAUUCCUUGUAAUCGCGCAUCAUCAGUGCGCGCUGAAUACGUCCCUGCCCUUUGUACACACCGCCCGUCACUCCUACCGAUUGAGUGAUCCGGUGAAUGUUUUGGAUCGGCUUCAAGUUGGUUCGCGCCUCUUGCUUGCUGUGAAAUCAUGUAAACCUUAUUGCUUAGAGGAAGGAGAAGUCGUAACA